rnacentral:rRNA from 1 species
GUGUGGAAGCGCAGUAAUGCGUGAAGCUAACCGGUACUAAUCGUCCGAUCGGCUUGAUUGACCACGCGCA